rnacentral:rRNA from 1 species
AGAGUUUGAUCAUGGCUCAGAUUGAACGCUGGCGGCAGGCCUAACACAUGCAAGUCGAGCGGCAGCGGGGGGAAGCUUGCUUCCCCGCCGGCGAGCGGCGGACGGGUGAGUAAUGUCUGGGGAUCUGCCUGAUGGAGGGGGAUAACUACUGGAAACGGUAGCUAAUACCGCAUAACGUCGCAAGACCAAAGUGGGGGACCUUCGGGCCUCACGCCAUCGGAUGAACCCAGAUGGGAUUAGCUAGUAGGUGGGGUAACGGCUCACCUAGGCGACGAUCCCUAGCUGGUCUGAGAGGAUGACCAGCCACACUGGAACUGAGACACGGUCCAGACUCCUACGGGAGGCAGCAGUGGGGAAUAUUGCACAAUGGGGGAAACCCUGAUGCAGCCAUGCCGCGUGUGUGAAGAAGGCCUUCGGGUUGUAAAGCACUUUCAGCGGGGAGGAAGGCGAUAAGGUUAAUAACCCUGUCGAUUGACGUUACCCGCAGAAGAAGCACCGGCUAACUCCGUGCCAGCAGCCGCGGUAAUACGGAGGGUGCNACAAUGGGGGAAACCCUGAUGCAGCCAUGCCGCGUGUGUGAAGAAGGCCUUCGGGUUGUAAAGCACUUUCAGCGGGGAGGAAGGCGAUAGGGUUAAUAACCCUGUCGAUUGACGUUACCCGCAGAAGAAGCACCGGCUAACUCCGUGCCAGCAGCCGCGGUAAUACGGAGGGUGCAAGCGUUAAUCGGAAUGACUGGGCGUAAAGCGCACGCAGGCGGUCUGUUAAGUUGGAUGUGAAAUCCCCGGGCUUAACCUGGGAACUGCAUUCAAAACUGACAGGCUAGAGUCUCGUAGAGGGGGGUAGAAUUCCAGGUGUAGCGGUGAAAUGCGUAGAGAUCUGGAGGAAUACCGGUGGCGAAGGCGGCCCCCUGGACGAAGACUGACGCUCAGGUGCGAAAGCGUGGGGAGCAAACAGGAUUAGAUACCCUGGUAGUCCACGCUGUAAACGAUGUCGACUUGGAGGUUGUGCCCUUGAGGCGUGGCUUCCGGAGCUAACGCGUUAAGUCGACCGCCUGGGGAGUACGGCCGCAAGGUUAAAACUCAAAUGAAUUGACGGGGGCCCGCACAAGCGGUGGAGCAUGUGGUUUAAUUCGAUGCAACGCGAAGAACCUUACCUACUCUUGACAUCCAGAGAAUUUGGCAGAGAUGCCUUAGUGCCUUCGGGAGCUCUGAGACAGGUGCUGCAUGGCUGUCGUCAGCUCGUGUUGUGAAAUGUUGGGUUAAGUCCCGCAACGAGCGCAACCCUUAUCCUUUGUUGCCAGCACUUCGGGUGGGAACUCAAGGGAGACUGCCGGUGAUAAACCGGAGGAAGGUGGGGAUGACGUCAAGUCAUCAUGGCCCUUACGAGUAGGGCUACACACGUGCUACAAUGGCGCAUACAAAGAGAAGCGACCUCGCGAGAGCAAGCGGACCUCAUAAAGUGCGUCGUAGUCCGGAUUGGAGUCUGCAACUCGACUCCAUGAAGUCGGAAUCGCUAGUAAUCGUAGAUCAGAAUGCUACGGUGAAUACGUUCCCGGGCCUUGUACACACCGCCCGUCACACCAUGGGAGUGGGUUGCAAAAGAAGUAGGUAGCUUAACCUUCGGGAGGGCGCUUACCACUUUGUGAUUCAUGACUGGGGUGAAGUCGUAACAAGGUAACCGUAGGGGAACCUGCGGUUGGAUCACCU